GCAGCAUUACACGAUACCUACUAUGUGAUCAACGGACAGAGGCAGUAUUACGCGAUAUCCACUAUGUGAUCAACGGACAGAGGCAGUAUUACGCGAUAUCCAUCAUGUGAUCCAGGGACAGAGGCAGUAUUACGCGAUAUCCACUAUAUGAUCCAGGGACAGAGGCAGUAUUACGCGAUAUCCACUAUGUAAUCAACGGACAGAGGCAGUAUUACGCGAUAUCCAUCAGGUGAUCCAGGGACAGAGGCAGUAUUACGCGAUAUCCCUUGGGCAGAGGCUGUAUUACGCAAUACCCAUCACACAACAUUUACUUUAU
rnacentral:misc_RNA from 1 species